ensembl:lncRNA
GGUAACCAUAGCAACAGCAGAUCAACCGUUGAGCGCUUGCCGUUGGGAUCAGUAUCUGCACGCUACAUCACAAAACAGUUAGUCAUUAUUUAUAAUGUUAACAGACGCUCUUCUGUGGACUCAGCAUCAGACGGGACGCCCGCUGUCCGCCCGCUGACCGUCUGAUGCACGCUUCACCUGAAACACAAGCACUUUCUCAAUCUAGUAAACUCUAAUGUGACUGGCUGACUUUAUGGAGCUUCCAAGAAAGCUCCCAGGGUUUUUCUCCAGUCUGUUUGGAAAAGUUGUGUUGACUGAGGAUCAAAUCUUUCAAGAAUGAAAUCAUCGCUGGAUUUACCAAAGUUUGUGAGGUCUGUUUGUCAUCUCGUACGGUAAGGUAACUUACAGUUAGUUUUUACAUCAGCAUUAGUUUACUGUGGUGUUUUACAGCGUGGGACUCUGAACACAUUAAACAGACCUGCGGCGUCACACACCUCAAAGAGCUCUGAGCUGCUGUCAUCAGAUCACAUGACCUCAGCGCUGAGAAGAAACGACCGGCGUGUAAAUACUUCAACGCAGGGAUUAACUGAAAAUUCAGAGAGUAUUUUAAAUCAUGAUAAACCUUUCUAAGAAUAGACUCUCAGCGUUUGAACACAGCAGAACAUCACAACAGACAGAAAAACACACAGACACGUCUCCCAGGGGACACUGAUAACUUUCACAAAUAUGUUCUUCAUGAAAUUUGUUUGUGUACCACAACAGAAUUGCAAAAUAAUUGUUUCCCAAAGAAUCCUAAUGGUAUCAAAUAAAAAUAAUCUAAAAUUAUUCUAUGAUAAGAUAUGUUAUAUAAAUACAAUAUAGAUAUAUUUAGAUUUUUUUAUUGCAUAUUUAAUAUAAUGAAGCAUUUUUUUA